CGUACACAGACAGGCUCUGUGUGUGGACUCCAUUCGGUCCGCUUCUGGCUACCAUUUGGUUUCGUCGUCUGCCAUUUCAGUACCUUCGUGGGGCGCCAGUCGCGCCGUUCGCUUUUCCCGUUCGGUUUGUCUCCCCUCACUGCUCCGUUCGAUAAUUGCCUCCAUGCAAUAUGUUGGCGCAGGUUCAGCCUAAAGUAUAUUCAAUUGCGGAAGAGGGGGAGUUGCAAAUGUCAAAUAUAUUCGACGCGCUUCAAUGUUUAAUAAUUUACGCCGUUAAAAUGAUUUUUGUUAAAACAAACGAAUGAAACAUUGAAAAAGAUGACAAAUAUAAAACAAACGUAUAAUAUAAAAUUGAAACGUAGUAUGUGAAAUUGUGUAAUGUGAAAUUCUAGCAGUUAAGUGAGAAUUGUAUGUAUUAUUUAAAAUUUUUGU